rnacentral:rRNA from 1 species
UACAGAGGGUGCGAGCGUUAAUCGGAUUUACUGGGCGUAAAGCGUACGUAAGCGGCUUUUUAAGUCGGAUGUGAAAUCCCUGAGCUUAACUUAGGAAUUGCAUUCGAUACUGGGAAGCUAGAGUAUGGGAGAGGAUGGUAGAAUUCCAGGUGUAGCGGUGAAAUGCGUAGAGAUCUGGAGGAAUACCGAUGGCGAAGGCAGCCAUCUGGCCUAAUACUGACACUGAGGCACGAAAGCAUGGGGAGCAAACAGG